rnacentral:rRNA from 1 species
UUGCUUAAUGUUCUUAGUGGCGGACGGGUGAGUAACACGUGAGUAACCUGCCUCUGAGAGUGGGAUAGCUUCUGGAAACGGAUGGUAAUACCGCAUAACAUCAUGGAUUCGCAUGUUUCUGUGAUCAAAGAUUUAUCGCUUAGAGAUGGACUCGCGUCUGAUUAGCUAGUUGGUAAGGUAACGGCUUACCAAGGCGACGAUCAGUAGCCGGACUGAGAGGUUGAUCGGCCACAUUGGGACUGAGACACGGCCCAGACUCC